GACGAACGCUGGCGGCGUGCCUAAUACAUGCAAGUAGAACGCUGAAGGAGGAGCUUGCUUCUCUGGAUGAGUUGCGAACGGGUGAGUAACGCGUAGGUAACCUGCCUGGUAGCGGGGGAUAACUAUUGGAAACGAUAGCUAAUACCGCAUAACAGUAGAUAUUGCAUGAUAUCUGCUUGAAAGGUGCAAUUGCAUCACUACCAGAUGGACCUGCGUUGUAUUAGCUAGUUGGUGGGGUAACGGCUCACCAAGGCGACGAUACAUAGCCGACCUGAGAGGGUGAUCGGCCACACUGGGACUGAGACACGGCCCAGACUCCUACGGGAGGCAGCAGUAGGGAAUCUUCGGCAAUGGACGGAAGUCUGACCGAGCAACGCCGCGUGAGUGAAGAAGGUUUUCGGAUCGUAAAGCUCUGUUGUAAGAGAAGAACGAGUGUGGGAGUGGAAAGUUCACACUGUGACGGUAUCUUACCAGAAAGGGACGGCUAACUACGUGCCAGCAGCCGCGGUAAUACGUAGGUCCCGAGCGUUGUCCGGAUUUAUUGGGCGUAAAGCGAGCGCAGGCGGUUAGAUAAGUCUGAAGUUAAAGGCUGUGGCUUAACCAUAGUACGCUUUGGAAACUGUUUAACUUGAGUGCAAGAGGGGAGAGUGGAAUUCCAUGUGUAGCGGUGAAAUGCGUAGAUAUAUGGAGGAACACCGGUGGCGAAAGCGGCUCUCUGGCUUGUAACUGACGCUGAGGCUCGAAAGCGUGGGGAGCAAACAGG
rnacentral:rRNA from 1 species